ACCCCUUUUUUAAUUCCACAGGAAAAAAAAAAAAGGAUGCAUUUUCCGUGCUCUAAAGACUCAAGUUCAAUCUGACUUCUUAUUUGGUUCAAGGGACUCUCCAAGACAUUGUAUUCUCAUAACCUCCCAGCUAUCAUUAUGGGCUGUAAACUGGUAACCCCAACUCAUUGAGUCACACACAAAAAAUAUGAAAACAGAAGGGGAAAAAAAAGGGAUCAUCAGACGGGACAAGAAAGGCUCAUAAAUAUGAGGAAGAGUCACCCUCGGUGAUUGCUGAGUCCAGAACUGCCAAGCAUGGGUUGACGAAGAGGAGAGUAUGCUAGAGCUUUGGUGUGGCUUUAUUGGAUAAGCAAAUUUUUUAUGAUCUUCAUUACCUAAUAUAGACACCUUCCUGUGA